CAUUAUUUGCAUAAAAUUAAAUCAACAAACGUCCAAAUAUACUAAAUGUCCAUUAAGUCCAUGUAGAUGUUCAUAAUAUCUAUUAUGUACAUCAUUGUUGUCCAUAUACUGUGUUGUUGUCAUCUUCUAUGCGUUGUCAUCAUCGUCCGUAUGCUAUCGUCCAUUGUUUAUCGUCUCUGUCGGUUGGCCAUCCGACAGAGACGUUGCCUAACUGGUAACCAGCAGUCACGAGAAGAGUUGCAGUUAUUUAAGAAAACUAAGCAUUGGAUGCAGGAAGAAAAGCUCAUAGUUACUCGGGAGGA
rnacentral:lncRNA from 1 species